CCUACGGGAGGCAGCAGUGGGGAAUAUUGCACAAUGGGGGAAACCCUGAUGCAGCCAUGCCGCGUGUGUGAAGAAGGCCUUCGGGUUGUAAAGCACUUUCAGUUGUGAGGAAAGUUUAGUAGUUAAUACCUGCUAGAUGUGACGUUAGCAACAGAAGAAGCACCGGCUAACUCCGUGCCAGCAGCCGCGGUAAUACGGAGGGUGCGAGCGUUAAUCGGAAUUACUGGGCGUAAAGCGCACGCAGGCGGUCUGUUAAGCUAGAUGUGAAAGCCCCGCGCUCAACGUGGGAGGGUCAUUUAGAACUGGCAGACUAGAGUCUUGGAGAGGGGAGUGGAAUUCCAGGUGUAGCGGUGAAAUGCGUAGAGAUCUGGAGGAACAUCAAUGGCGAAGGCAACUCCCUGGCCAAAGACUGACGCUCAUGUGCGAAAGUGUGGGUAGCGAACAGGAUUAGAUACCCUGGUAGUCCACACCGUAAACGCUGUCUACUAGCUGUUUGUGAAUUUAAUUCGUGAGUAGCGAAGCUAACGCAAUAAGUAGACCGCCUGGGGAGUACGGCCGCAAGGUUAAAACUCAAAGGAAUUGACGG
rnacentral:rRNA from 1 species